rnacentral:rRNA from 1 species
UACGUAGGGGGCAAGCGUUGUCCGGAUUUAUUGGGCGUAAAGAGCGUGUAGACGGCCAUGUAGGUCCGUUGUGAAAACUCGAGGCUCAACCUCGAGACGCCGAUGGAAACCAUGUGGCUAGAGUCCGGAAGGGGCGAGUGGAAUUCCUGGUGUAGCGGUGAAAUGCGCAGAUAUCAGGAGGAACACCAAUGGCGAAGGCAGCUCGCUGGGACGGUACUGACGCUGAGGCGCGAAAGCGUGGGGAGCAAACAGG